rnacentral:rRNA from 1 species
ACGCUCGACACCUACGGGGGGCAGCAGUGAGGAAUAUUGGUCAAUGGGCGCUAGCCUGAACCAGCCAAGUAGCGUGAAGGAUGAAGGCUCUAUGGGUCGUAAACUUCUUUUAUAUAAGAAUAAAGUGCAGUAUGUAUACUGUUUUGUAUGUAUUAUAUGAAUAAGGAUCGGCUAACUCCGUGCCAGUAGCCGCGGUAAUCUGAGCGGGCUGGCAAGGC